rnacentral:rRNA from 1 species
GAUGAACGCUGACAGAAUGCUUAACACAUGCAAGUCAACUUGAACUUCGGUUUGGGUGGCGGACGGGUGAGUAACGCGUAAAGAACUUGCCUCACAGAUAGGGACAACAUUUGGAAACGAAUGCUAAUACCUGAUAUUAUGAUUUUAGGGCAUCCUAGGAUUAUGAAAGCUAUAUGCACUGUGAGAGAGCUUUGCGUCCCAUUAGCUAGUUGGAGAGGUAACGGCUCACCAAGGCGAUGAUGGGUAGCCGGCCUGAGAGGGUGAUCGGCCACAAGGGGACUGAGACACGGCCCUUACUCCUACGGGAGGCAGCAGUGGGGAAUAUUGGACAAUGGACCAAGAGUCUGAUCCAGCAAUUCUGUGUGCACGAUGAAGUUUUUCGGAAUGUAAAGUGCUUUCAGCUGGGAAGAAAAAAAUGACGGUACCAACAGAAGAAGUGACGGCUAAAUACGUGCCAGCAGCCGCGGUAAUACGUAUGUCACAAGCGUUAUCCGGAUUUAUUGGGCGUAAAGCGCGUCUAGGUGGUUAUGUAAGUCUGAUGUGAAAAUGCAGGGCUCAACUCUGUAUUGCGUUGGAAACUGUGUAACUAGAGUACUGGAGAGGUAAGCGGAACUACAAGUGUAGAGGUGAAAUUCGUAGAUAUUUGUAGGAAUGCCGAUGGGGAAGCCAGCUUACUGGACAGAUACUGACGCUGAAGCGCGAAAGCGUGGGUAGCAAACAGG